rnacentral:lncRNA from 1 species
UGUGGAAAUUCUAUACCUUAUUGUCUGAAGGCGUGGCAGACGCAAAGAUUGACAUUAAACGGGAGUUCAUGUCGUCUCCCUCUAUAUUUACACCACUACAGCGUCCUCGGGCAAGUGAGUUCAUGUCGUCUCCCUCAAUAUUGCCACUCAAGUUUCUGUUUACAAGAUCGACAGUUACUCGUCAGAAUAGCCAGAAGUGCUAGCACUUCCUUUUGAGUAAUGACAGUAACUCCAUUUAUAUUUGGUGAAAAUGUUUAGCGUCACAUGAUCUGUGUUCUUAGGAUAUUGAGGUCUAAAUGACUACUUCAAUCUGUAAUCAGAUUUAAUAUGUUGCUGGGUUGAUGAGAUGAGAAAAAAAUGUCCACUAUACUGUUUAGCAAUAUUUUCACUCUUUAAAUGGCAUGUAAGUCUGUGACAAAGAGCUGCAUGGGAGGAUUAAUGUGAUUUUAAUAAUAUCCUCACCCUUCAAGUGUCCUGUGACUAAUAGUUGCACAUUAGGAUUAGCCAGACAGUAGUAUGUGAUUAAUGGAGACAUUUGCCAUGCCAGUUUAAUUGUGCAUUACUGAAUACAUGAACACAAUAGUUAUUAUUCUUGCAACACAAUAGCUAGCUGUUCACUGAAUUGCAUCUUUUGUUCUAUGUUGUCUUCAUAGGUGGAAGAGACUUUGUUAAAACGAACUAAAGUGUUUCUCUGCUCAUAUUCCAGUGUUUAUUUAUAACAUGCCUUUGUUUUAUUAUUUUGGUUUUUUAAAUGUCAUGCUUAUAUCCUGGUUUGGAUAUCCAGUUUAAAGACAUCCCAUCUAUUGGACGCUCCAUCACUAGCUGCAAUAGACAAAACUUAGAGGCAAUUACUUAUCUCAAUCUUACUUCUACAUUUAUAUUUCCCUCUUGUGUUUUACCUUUUGCUUAUAUCCUUUGCGUGACAUAGGAGCCAUUUCCACUAUUUCAUCUAUUAAAACAAGUAAGAAAAUAGAAAGGCUUGGAAGCAAUGGUGUUCCACCCAGAACAAGCCGACUCAAGUGAGGCAACGAGUCAGGAAGCGCACCAUGGUCGGAUGAACGAAGAAGAAAAAUCUGUUGCAUGGAAUGGAUGUAUGUUAUUAGAUUAAAAUAACAAAAUUUAUGUAUGGAUAGAAUCACAAAUGAAUUCUGAAACAUUUUCUCAUAACAGUAUAACGCACACAUGUACAUAAGUUAUCGUGUUGUUAUACGGUUCCGUUGCAACGUACGGGCACUCACCUAGUCAUAUAAUAGAGAAUAAUCUCCACCUUGGAUUUUUAACAUAUUUUUUAUGUUAUUUUUAUAUUGUCAUAAAAUGCACUCAUAAUAAAAAUUCCAGC